rnacentral:rRNA from 1 species
UACGUAGGUGGCAAGCGUUGUCCGGAAUUACUGGGCGUAAAGAGCGCGCAGGCGGCUGGUCAAGUCCGAUGUGAAAGCUUCCGGCUUAACUGGGAAAUUGCAUCGGAAACUGAUCGGCUUGAAGGUGGGAGAGGGUAGUGGAAUUCCCGGUGUAGUGGUGAAAUGCGUAGAUAUCGGGAGGAACACCAGUGGCGAAGGCGGCUACCUGGACAAUUGCUGACGCUCAGGCACGAAAGCGUGGGGAGCAAAAGGG